UACCAGCCGGGUAGGGAGUAGCUUCUGGGGGAUUCCCUUGCCUACCGAGGGCCGGCGAGGCUGCCCUCAGAGCGCCACCAGGUACGUGCGUUUUCCUUGUUUUCCGCGCGCCUCUGGGGAGGGAAUGAAUAAAAACCCAGCUGGUGUGUAGGAGGUUUUCGCAGCAAACGUGUCUUUCUGAGGGGUCCUGGUACGACAGCUGAACUCGGGGUAGUCCCUGCGCUGUGUUCUGGAAUCCCUACUGGGCUCUCCACCACCCGCAGGACGGGAAUGGAGCCAGUCCCUGUGGAAAUGCGCGUCGCUUUCUUCCGUGGCCCAGGAAAUUCACUCUGGAUGCCGUGGGUAUCACAGCAGGAUGGUUCUGUUUCAUAGUGGUUCAUACAGUUAUCCACCAACCCGGAAACCUAGAAUUCUCGUUUUCUGAGCCGGGAUGUUUAGGAAAACCCGGGCUUGGCUCUUGCUGUGCGCCGGGUGUCCAGGAACGAAUCCCUCCAGGAUCUGAGAAGUCCAGAUUUGCGGGGUUAGGAGAUACCCGCACCGGACUGAGUUGUGUUUGUUUUUGUUUUUGUUUUUGGUUGGUGCUGGUUUGUUAUUUUUCAGCAUCAGAAGAGCCUGUUAGCUGAACUGGAGCGGGCCCCAUCCCCUCCCCCAUACCCACUUCAAACAAAAGAGCUCCUCGGAGAAUAUUUUUUAGGGGGAGAGGGCUUCUGAAUGUGGAUCCGCAGCUCUCCCCGCCCCCCUCCGUUUCUAGGAAGGACGAGGGUUUUAUAUGUGUGUUUAAAACAAAGGGGAAGCUUGGCGCGAGUUGCCGGAAAAGGGGCGCUUUUAUUUUGAAGUUCUUGAAGAAUUCACUUUCUUUUCUCCCAAGUUAGCUGCAGCUAAACCAGAAGUGUCCCCACCGGUUUACCCGAUUGUGGGAUUUUACACGGUAUCGGCUAACGGCAGCGUUGAGAAAAGGCCGUUUCAGAAGAGGAAAUGGGCCUCUGGCUGGCUGGGUGGAAACCCCUAUGGAAUGAAAAGUAUAGUCCCAGCAUCUACGGAAGAUUUCAAAGUAAGAGUCCCGGGUGUACUCGCUGCGAGCGUCUGUCUAUCCGCGCGGCGCUUGGUGGGGUAGUCCCGCUUCCACCAAAACUCUGCAUUUCUUUUCUUUCAAAACUCAACAAGCCAUAAAGCUUCCGACGCUGGCGGAGAAGGCGCCGCGGAUUUAUGGCCCCCGAAUUCCCCACUCUCUAAUUAUCCUUGUUUUUACUUGACUUAUGGGUAGAGACCAAUAAAAUCAUUUUCCAUUUUG